AGAGAAAUGAGCAAACACAGGAUAUGUUACAGAGGUGAAAAAAAGACGAAGCGACGUCGCCAUAAAGCCCGGAGCACAUGACAAUCUCCAUCUCCGGGUUCCUUUCUUCCCUCUGGUCCCCCAAAGAUGACGUCAACCUCCCACAAUCCAUCACGCCUUCCCAGCAACCAUCAUGUCUGAUUUCCGGUCCAUCCCGAUAUAUUGUCCCCCCAAACCCGCCAUCUUUGUCUUAUGAUUUUUGAUUGUUUAUGUCAAAGA